rnacentral:lncRNA from 1 species
AAAGCAUGCUAAAAAUAUUACAUAAGAAAUCCGUUGAAAACGAUAACUUAACCCAUUAGAGAGCAACACGGCUUCAAAACGAAUCAUCAAAGCAAAAUUAGCUAAAAUUUUACCCAUAAGACAUUAAAACAUGUCCAUAGUGAAAAAGAUUUAAAAAGUACAUAGGUUUGAGAUACAUAAACAUUCCAGAAAAUUAAAAGAAGUGGCGGAAUUAAAAACCCUAGUCAUAUUUUUGUUCUUCUUCCUCUGGCCUGAAGAACACUUUAGAAGUGCGACUAGACAAGGAGGCGGUUACGUAGUUGCUAUCUUCAAAUUUUUUAGGUCAAAAGAUAGUGAUAGGAAGCUGGGAAAUUUUGUUACAUAGAAGCCUGUGGUGUUGGAUUCAUAAAAUUUGGCACUGUUGGAUUAGGAAAAGGAAUAUUCGGAUAAGGGUUGUUUUGAACGGAGGGAUAGGUACUAUUUUGAGGCAAAUUGGGUGCAGAAUGAGGAUUAACAUUUUGAGUUUCGACUGUGAAAUUCGAUGAAUUAACACGAGGGUUUGCUGAAUUAUAAGCACAAUGGACAUGCAUAUCAAAGUCACAUUUAGAACAACAAUAAGAAAAGCCAUUUCCUGCGAGAUUGCAUGAAUUGCAGAAAAAUGAAUUAGAGGGAUAUGUUGGAAAAGGCACUAAAGUUAAGGGAUGCAGAGGAUGAGAAGGGUGCUUCAUCGAGCGAGUUGCUCGAAAACAUUGCUCGUGGAGGAAGUAACGACACUGCCAACACACGUAAAUCGAGCCCGACCCUGGAGUUUUGCAACAGGAAAAAUGGAUUUCAGUGCCUUGUGGCAGUUGCUGAAAAACUAGGCCAUGGUUGUGGCUAAAAUGCUUGUAUUCCAUGGCUCUCUCUAGCUUGGAGCGUCCCAGAUGAAUUUUCUUG